rnacentral:tRNA from 1 species
GGGAAGUUGGCUCAGUGGUAGAGUGCUUGCCUCAAAUGCAUGAGGUCCUGGGUUCGAUUCCUUAGCACCACA